rnacentral:rRNA from 1 species
AGCGAACGCUGGCGGCAGGCCUAACACAUGCAAGUCGAACGAACCUUUCGGGGUUAGUGGCGGACGGGUGAGUAACACGUGGGAACGUGCCUUUAGGUUCGGAAUAACUCAGGGAAACUUGUGCUAAUACCGAAUGUGCCCUUCGGGGGAAAGAUUUAUCGCCUUUAGAGCGGCCCGCGUCUGAUUAGCUAGUUGGUUGAGGUAAUGGCUCACCAAGGCGACGAUCAGUAGCUGGGCUGAGAGGAUGAUCAGCCACAUUGGGACUGAGACACGGCCCAAACGCCUACGGGAGGCAGCAGUGGGGAAUCUUGCGCAAUGGGCGAAAGCCUGAUGCAGCCAUGCCGCGUGAAUGAUGAAGGUCUUAGGAUUGUAAAAUUCUUUCACCGGGGACGAUAAUGACGGUACCCGGAGAAGAAGCCCCGGCUAACUUCGUG